ACCCCUCCUUGGUGCCUGUCCGGUAGCUGGUCACUCUCGGGGGAAGGUCGUGCUACAGAAGGGCACAUGCGAUCACACACAGACGGCGUUGCUGCGGCUUUGACCCUAUGGUGCACCCGAAAGAACACAGAGGGUGGAGGGAGAGAUCCAGGAAGAGGUCGCGGAGCAGAACCUCCUUUCACUUCAGUUAAAAAG
rnacentral:sRNA from 1 species